UGAAAUUCACUGGGGUUUCAGAGGAUCAUAGGAAAGUACCUGCGUUCCGAAUUAACCGAACGCGAGAUGGCGUACUUGCAUUUUUAGAGCGCGUGCCAUUAAUAACAGAUUGCGGCCGUCCAUGACUUCUGUCGCCGAACGCAUCGCGGUGUGCCGCCCUGACCAGCAGGAGGAAAUGACCCUGUUCCACCAAUGAACCAGCUACUACAGACACUCAAAUAUUUUGCCUCUGGUGAUUUCCUUCUGUCCACUGGAAACUUAAUUGGUACUGGCAAGGGGACAGCCAGCAAGAUUAUUAAAAGGAUGUGUAUGACAUGGACAACAUGCAGAAGAGAUAGUUUCUAUAAUUUUUUAGAUUUCUGGUGUAAUUAAAUGAAAAUAAAAUAAACAGAUGUAUAUAGAUGAA